AAAUUGAUGGCUGAAUAGUAAGCAGAAGCUUGUAAAUCUUCCCAUGGUGUCUACACCUCAAUUUA
rnacentral:tRNA from 1 species